AUUGAACGCUGGCGGCAGGCCUAAUACAUGCAAGUCGAGCGGAGCGACGGACGGACGAGUAAGGACUAGGAAUCUGCCUGGUAGUGGGGGAUAAGGUAAGGAACCGGGAGCUAAUACCGCCUACUAUUAGAUGCGCCUAGGUCGGAGUAGCUAUGUUGUGGGUUAAAGGCCUCACAGGGCGACGAUCCGUCACGGGUCUGAGAGGCUGUUCAGUCACACGUGAACUGUGAACCGGCCCAGCCCCCUACGGUAGGCAGCAGUGGGGAAUAUUGGCAAAUGGGCGAAACCCUGAUCCAGCCAUGCCGCGUGUGUGAAGAAGUUUUUCGGAUUGUAAAGCCCGUUAAGUUGGGAGGCGGUACCAACAGAGUAAGCACCGGCUAACUUCGUGCCAGCCGCCGCGGUAAUUC
rnacentral:rRNA from 1 species